AGCUCCAAUAGUGUAUAUUAAAGUUGUUGCAGUUAAAAAGCUCGUAGUUGAAUUUCGGAACUCUAUCCGUCGGUCGGGCUUAACUGUUCGCACUGUUCCUACCUUCUGAAUAACUGGCAUGCCAUUAAUUUGGUGCGCCGGGGAAGCAGGGCUAUUACCUUGAAAAAAUUAGAGUGCUUAAAGCAGGCUAUCGCCUGAAUACAUUAGCAAUGGAAUAAUGAAAUGGUUCUAUUUUGUUGGUUUCUAGGAUCACCGUAAUGAUUAAUAGGGAUAGUUGGGGGCAUUAGUAUUCAAUUGUCAGAGGUGAAAUUCUUGGAUUUAUUGAAGACUAACUUCUGCGAAGGCAUUUACCAAGGAUCUUUUCAUUAAUCAAGAACGAAAGUUAAGGGAUCGAAGACGAUCAGAUACCGUCGUAGUCUUAACCAUAACCUAUGCCGACUAGGGAUC
rnacentral:rRNA from 1 species